UACAGAGGAGUCAAGCGUUGUCCGGAUUGACUGGGCGUAAAGCGCACGCAGGCGGACGCGCGCGUGGGGUGUGAAAUCUGGCCGCUUAACGGCCAGGCGCCAUCCCAUACGGCGCGUCUGGAGUGAUGCAGAGGUCGAUGGAAUUGCCGGUGUAGUGGUGAAAUGCGUAGAGAUCGGCAGGAACACCCAGGGGGAAACCAGUCGACUGGGCAUCUACUGACGCUGAGGUGCGAGAGCGUGGGGAGCGAACCGG
rnacentral:rRNA from 1 species